rnacentral:rRNA from 1 species
GACGAACGCUGGCGGCGUGCUUAACGCAUGCAAGUCGAACGGAAAGGCCCUGCUUUUGUGGGGUGCUCGAGUGGCGAACGGGUGAGUAACACGUGAGUAACCUGCCCUUGACUUUGGGAUAACUUCAGGAAACUGGGGCUAAUACCGGAUAGGAGCUCCUGCUGCAUGGUGGGGGUUGGAAAGUUUCGGCGGUUGGGGAUGGACUCGCGGGUGAUCAGCUUGUUGGUGGGGUAGUGGCUUACCAAGGCUUUGACGGGUAGCCGGCCUGAGAGGGUGACCAGCCACAUUGGGACUGAGAUACGGACCAGACUCCUACAGUGGGCAGCAGUGGCGAAUAUUGCACAAUGGGCGGGAGCCUGAUGCAGCAACGCCGCGUGCGGGAUGACGGCCUUCGGGUUGUAAACCGCUUUCGCCUAUGACGAAGCGUGAGUGACGGUAAUGGGUAAAGAAGCACCGGCUAACUACGUG